AUAAUGUUUAGUGUACCUAUUAUAUUUUAAAAGGUAUAUUUUACCUUUGUUUAUAUUGUAGCCUAAACCUUUACUAUCAGAAAAAGGUAACAAGAAAACUAUUAAGGCCAAAAAAGCGAUUCCUGGCAAGCUGCCUGAGGCAGCAAAAAGUAAAUUACGAAGUAUUUUAAUACAAAUGGACGACAGAGAUGCUAGUAGUAGCGAUGAUGAAAAACUGAAGUAUGUUCCUAAACCAUUAAAACGUAAACUAGUUGAAGAUAAGGAACAUGAAUACGUUCCGACCUAUAAGGAGGCGAAUCCUACAGAUACUUUAUCAAAUGAUGGUGAUCAUACAAAAACAACCCUUCAUCACCGCUUCGUCAUAACCCUUGAUGGAAUAAACAAGAAUAAGUGUAAAGAAAUUAAAACCUUACGUUGUCCAAAUAUACUUGCAAAAACUGAAUUGGAAAAUAUUCAAUCUCUUAACAGGAAAAAUUCUCCUAUAAUUUUUGCUGAAAAAAAAACUGAAAUUCCCGAAGCAUUGCCUAUAGUUCACCAACCCACAAUUCUAAAAGUCAAAGAAAGAUGUAAAUAUUGGCCAGUUUGUAAUAAAGGAGAAAAAUGCGAAUAUCUACAUCCCAAUACACUUUGCAAAAACUUUCCCCGUUGUAAAUUUGGAGACAAGUGCUUAUAUUUACACCCACCUUGUAAAUUUGAAAAUUCAUGUACCAAAAAGGACUGUCCUUUUAGUCAUUUGCCAAAGAGUUGCCUCAAUGGACCGUUUUUACCUUCACAACUGCAACAGUGCAAAUUUUUUCCAAACUGUAGCAAUGCCCACUGUACAUUUUACCACCCCCGGCCUUGCAGAUUUGGCAAAUUUUGUAAAAAUAAAAGUGAAUGCAAUUUUCUGCAUUCUCCAGUUCCUCCUAAACAAAGUUUAACGUGGAGAAAUUAAUUAAUUCGUAGAUCCUAGCUAAUUAAUCGUAAUUCCGUAUAUUCAGUUAAUUAAAGUAAGUUAUUAUAAGAUUAAUUUAUUUUUCCUUUCUUAAAUAAAUUACACGCAAAAUUUACUUGUUUACCUCCGUAAACAAAAAUAAGACAUUUAUCUGUAUAAAACAGCACAAGUCUAAAUUAAAUAAGAAAGCUGUAUAAUUUCUACAAAGGAGACUACGGAGAUUAGGCCGUAAGGAUGAAUAAAAAAUGUUUGAGUAUUCUAAAUGAUUUAUGCCUAACUAGUGCCCAAAGAAUUACUUGGUUCUAUUGUCAGUGCAUUGAAGCCAUUCCAUAUAAAGAUCUCAGUAGUCUCCUUUAAAAGCGAAUAACUUCUUACCUAGUUUCUGUCUCUUCCAUGUCGGUGUUUUAUUUCACCUGAAAAAAAGGAAAACAUUUUUAUUGUAUAUAAAUUUUUUGCCUAUUUUGGUAUUGAAUCAUACAUUUUGAACUAUUUUAACUCAUCAACUUCAAGAUAGCAUCAUACUUCAUUGUUCUUAAAUAAGUUUCAGUGAAAGAUUGUUACUUAGUUAAAAGUGUGUAAACAACACACAUGAAUACUUUGGGUUCCUAAAUUCGUUUCAAUACCAUGAAGUUAAAUACCUACUUUUUCAGGGUGUUGAAUAAAAAUUACCUAGUCUUUCAAUUUGGUACAAAGUUUACCUGGUUUUGUACAUUUUCUUGGACUAUUUUAGUUUUCAAUCCACGUUUUUUUUGUAUUAUUAAAAAGUUACGUGAAUAUUUCGAAUCUUCUGUAUAUUUAACUUUUACUUAGCCUUAAAAUUUAUUAUGAUAGUUCAUCUCAAAGAAGCAGUUUGUUUUAAUAUUUUUCGUCUUAUUUUAAUUGUAAAACCAAUAAAGAAAAAUAAGUUGUGGUAAUUUAUCGAAACCUGAUAUAGAUCGUGAUUCUGAACUUAUUGGUUCUAAUCAGCACGCCUCAGGCAGCAUUAAACUUCAAAAUCACGAUCCAUGUCUGGUAGUUUUAAUAAAUUGCUAGUCAAGAACUUAAAAACACCA